rnacentral:rRNA from 1 species
AUACUCCGAGAACUGAAAGGCUUUUUGAAGUCUUCGGAUGGAUAGAAGAACCCCUGAUGCCGUCGAGCCAAGAAAAGUUUCUAAGUUUAGCUAAUGUUGCCCGUACCGUAAACCGACACAGGUGGGUGGGAUGAGUAUUCUAAGGCGCGUGGAAGAACUCUCUUUAAGGAACUCUGCAAAAUAGCACCGUAUCUUCGGUAUAAGGUGUGGUUAGCUUUGUAUUAGGAUUUACUCCGAAAGCAAGGAAACUUACAACAAAGAGUCCCUCCCGACUGUUUACCAAAAACACAGCACUCUGCUAACUCGUAAGAGGAUGUAUAGGGUGUGACGCCUGCCCGGUGCUCGAAGGUUAAUUGAUGGGGUUAGCAUUAGCGAAGCUCUUGAUCGAAGCCCGAGUAAACGGCGGCCGUAACUAUAACGGUCCUAAGGUAGCGAAAUUCCUUGUCGGUUAAAUACCGACCUGCAUGAAUGGCGUAACGAGAUGGGAGCUGUCUCAAAGAGGGAUCCAGUGAAAUUGUAGUGGAGGUGAAAAUUCCUCCUACCCGCGGCAAGACGGAAAGACCCCGUGGACCUUUACUACAGCUUGACACUGCUACUUGGAUAAGAAUGUGCAGGAUAGGUGGGAGGCUUUGAGUAUAUGACGCCAGUUGUAUAUGAGCCAUUGUUGAGAUACCACUCUUUCUUAUUUGGGUAGCUAACCAGCUUGAGUUAUCCUCAAGUGGGACAAUGUCUGGUGGGUAGUUUGACUGGGGCGGUCGCCUCCCAAAUAAUAACGGAGGCUUACAAAGGUUGGCUCAGAACGGUUGGAAAUCGUUCGUAGAGUAUAAAGGUAUAAGCCAGCUUAACUGCAAGACAUACAAGUCAAGCAGAGACGAAAGUCGGUCUUAGUGAUCCGGUGGUUCUGUGUGGAAGGGCCAUCGCUCAAAGGAUAAAAGGUACCCCGGGGAUAACAGGCUGAUCUCCCCCAAGAGCUCACAUCGACGGGGAGGUUUGGCACCUCGAUGUCGGCUCAUCGCAUCCUGGGGCUGGAGCAGGUCCCAAGGGUAUGGCUGUUCGCCAUUUAAAGCGGUACGCGAGCUGGGUUCAGAACGUCGUGAGACAGUUCGGUCCCUAUCUGCCGUGGGCGUAAGAAGAUUGAAGAGAUUUGACCCUAGUACGAGAGGACCGGGUUGAACAAACCACUGGUGUAGCUGUUGUUCUGCCAAGAGCAUCGCAGCGUAGCUAAGUUUGGAAAGGAUAAACGCUGAAAGCAUCUAAGCGUGAAGCCAACUCUAAGAUGAAUCUUCUCUAAGCUCUCUAGAAGACUACUAGUUUGAUAGGCUGGGUGUGUAAUGGAUGAAAGUCCUUUAGCUGACCAGUACUAAUAGAGCGUUUGGCUUAUCUUU